UAGGGAAUCUUCGGCAAUGGACGAAAGUCUGACCGAGCAACGCCGCGUGAGUGAAGAAGGUUUUCGGAUCGUAAAACUCUGUUGUUAGAGAAGAACAAGGACGUUAGUAACUGAACGUCCCCUGACGGUAUCUAACCAGAAAGCCACGGCUAACUACGUGCCAGCAGCCGCGGUAAUACGUAGGUGGCAAGCGUUGUCCGGAUUUAUUGGGCGUAAAGCGAGCGCAGGCGGUUUCUUAAGUCUGAUGUGAAAGCCCCCGGCUCAACCGGGGAGGGUCAUUGGAAACUGGGAGACUUGAGUGCAGAAGAGGAGAGUGGAAUUCCAUGUGUAGCGGUGAAAUGCGUAGAUAUAUGGAGGAACACCAGUGGCGAAGGCGGCUCUUUGGUCUGUAACUGACGCUGAGGCUCGAAAGCGUGGGGAGCAAACAGG
rnacentral:rRNA from 2 species